rnacentral:lncRNA from 11 species
CAGAAGGUUGGAUAAGUGAGACUCUACUGUAUUGUUAUUACUACUAUUAAUAAUAUUAUAAAAAUACUAUUAAAAUAUUAAUAACAAUAUUAUUCACAAUCCUAAUAUUAUUGAUACUAUUUUAAUUCAUAAUAAUAACCCUAUUAUUACUAUUGUUGACUUCAUGAAGAGUGUCUUGGCUCCACCAUAUCCACUCUUGGAACCACCAUUGGGCAGGAUUUGCUCCAUCCAUGAGCUGAACUGGUCCAGGAAAGUCCCCUGAACCAGUUUAGGAACUGUCUCGGUUGUCCUUUUCUCGCUGCCUGGCAUGACCCACCUCUCUGGGGAAUUUGCUGCCACUUCCUUUCUCUUGACUGUAAGCGUUGAGAAAUAGCAGAAGAUGUGGAUCUUAUUGUAAUAAUAAUAAAACUUUAUUUAUGCGCCGCCACCGUCUCCCCGUGGGGACUCGGGGUGGCUUACAUGGGGCAGAGGCCCAAGCAACAUCGAACAAAACGUAGGCAACAAAUAAAAAUAAAAAUUGUAUUCAGAGACCUCCUGAAAGGAAAUCCAAAUUUUGCUAGGCUUGUGUGGACUGAGACAGAACCUUCUCCCAUCUUUCCCCCUUAGUCUCCUGUUUUUAACAUUUUAUGCUGCAUGUUGAUUUUAAUGACUGUUUUAUUGAUGCUGAUGUUUUUAUUGUUGGGAUAAUUGUGUUAUUGUUUUGUUAUUAUAUUGUUGUAUCGGGCAAGGCCCCAUGUAAGCCGCCCCGAGUCCCUUCGGGGAGAUGGGGCGGGGUAUAAAAAUAAAGUUAUUAUUAUUAUUAUUAUUAUUAUUAUUAUUAUUACAGGUUCAUGUGCGCCCAGCUCCCCAACCCCGUCCUGGACAGCAUCAGCAUCAUCGACACACCUGGGAUCCUGUCGGGAGAGAAGCAGCGGAUAAGCAGAGCUGCAUUUUCCCAUAAAUAUUAAUGGGUCCCUCACAGAUGGGUCCAGCAGGUCAGCCAAGGUGACUGGAGCCGAGUCCAAGGCGUUGAGUGUUUUUCCAGGUGACUCUCCCUAGGAAGUGCAUGCAUUCGCGUGUCAAAAUGUAUU